AGCAGCCGCGGUAAUUCCAGCUCCAAUAGCGUAUAUUAAAGUUGUUGCAGUUAAAAGCUCGUUGUUGAACUUCGGGAUCAAUAUGUUGGUCGUGCCUCGGUACGUACUAGCUUAUUGGUUUCUCCUUUCUGAAGAACCAUGAUGUCAUUUAUUUGGUGUCGUGGGGAAUCAGGACUGUUACUUUGAAAAAGUUGAGUGUUUAAAGCAGGCUCACGCUUGAAUACAUUAGCAUGGAAUAAUGAAAUAGGACGUUUGAUUCUAUUUUGUUGGUUUCUAGGAUCGACGUAAUGAUUGAUAGGGAUAGUUGGGGGCAUUAGUAUUCAAUUGUCAGAGGUGAAAUUCUUGGAUUUAUUGAAGACUAACUACUGCGAAAGCAUUUGCCAAGGAUGUUUUCAUUAAUUCAAGAACGAAAGUUAGGGAUCGAAGACGAUCAGAUACCGUCGUAGUACUUAACCAUAAACUAUGCCGACUAGGAUCGGAUGAUGUUAAUUUUUAA
rnacentral:misc_RNA from 1 species